UACGUAGGUGGCAAGCGUUGUCCGGAUUUACUGGGCGUAAAGGGCGUGCAGGCGGCUUGUUAAGUGCAGGGUGAAAGCUCCCGGCCUCAACUGGGAGAGGUUCUUGCAUACUGGCGAGCUCGAGGGAGGCAGAGGAAAGUGGAAUUCCCGGUGUAGUGGUGAUAUGCGUAGAUAUCGGGAGGAACACCUGUGGCGAAGGCGGCUUUCUGGGCCUUACCUGACGCUGAGACGCGAAAGCGUGGGGAGCGA
rnacentral:rRNA from 1 species